rnacentral:rRNA from 1 species
AUAAUCCACCAUGCCACCCUGAAAGCAUCAGAUCUUACCUGGUUUUGGAAGCUAAACAGGGUCUGGCUUGGUAUUUAUGUGGGCAGAAGAUCACCAAGGAAUACCAACAAUCUCCAGAUGGAGCUAAGGAAGAAUCUU